rnacentral:lncRNA from 12 species
CCACAGACAAUAAUGGUACAACAGCCCUGAAGCUUGGUUUUUGGCAGGCACCAUUUGUACCACAGUACCACUGUACUGUUCAGAUUCUACAAUGCAGUUGGUGUUGGCUUUUCUUGGGAGUGACAAUUCAGGAGUGGAAGGAGGUACGAAUGCUGAGCUUGAAGUCUAAGUACAUUGAUGGUACCUGUCAACCUCAGCAUGUGGAAAUAGCUACCCUGAGAAAACUCUUUUGUUCUUCAGCCUAACCCCACCACCCUUGGAGAUUUCCCCCACCAGAACCCUGGUCCCC